CCUCUUUAUAAACAGCUUCUUCCUCCCAUUGUCAUAUCACGGUUCUUCUGGUUCAGAGCAGAUAUUAGCGAUUUAAAGUCCCUCAGGACUGUGAUAAAUUGAUGUAUUGAUCCAAAUUUGCUGAUGGUUUUACCGUCGGUUUUCUACCAUGGUUUUUUUGUGUGUGCUAAACUGAUGUUUUGGCGAGCAUAGUGAUGAUUGUUUAAUUGUCCGAUUAAUUCAUGAAUGGAAUAGCAAACCUCCUACUCAUUCUGAAUGUUCGCCUUUCUCUGCUUAAUCUGUUCAUUGUGUUUCAUUUUGAAUUUUGUUAAAUCGUCUCUUUUGAACGAAAAAUCAUGUGCCAAAAGUUACAAAUUUCAUAUUGUUUUUUGUCGAUUUGAAUUUAAUAAGCUUCAAUUUUGAAUUAUUAACUUAUGUAUGGAAGUUAUGCUUCAUCAUUGUUUCUAUUUCAUAUGUCUGAACGAUGAUGACGAUCUUGUUUUGAGGACGAAAAGUCAUUGAUUCUUGUAGUUUGAAGAAGUCCUCUACAUCGAUUGCUAUAAUUAUUUUCUCAGAUCAAUAUACGUUUUGGAAAUACGUUUUCUUAUGUUUUUCAAAAUUCUUAUUACAAUUUGAUAAAAUAAUUGAUUUGAUUGAGAUUGAUUAUUACACAAAAAAUAUGUUUCAUAUAUUGUCAAUUUCAAAUCUCUGCACGAUGAUGAUGAUGUUGUGCUGAGAUCGAAAGGUCUAUGAUUUUUCUUCUAUCAAGAAGUCCUUUUCAUCCUGAGUGCUAUUAAUUGUAACAUUGUUUUUGAACCAUCUCAUUCCUGUAAAAAUGUAUGAUUCAGUUCAAAUUAACGUCUUUGUAAUCAUAAUUUUUUUGCUUAAUGGGUCUGAAGUUUGACUCCUUGGCUUAACUUCAAUGCCAUGGUGUUGAAUCCAGCACCCGAUAUUAAAUUUCUCCCUUUGUGUUAUUGAUUCUGUUAGAUUGUACUUGUAAUUUAUCUAGACAUCAUGGAGGGUUAUAUAAUUUCUACAUUUCGAUUCUGUUCACAAAGAGGUUUUGUAUUAAUUGUUGAUUUGUUUAAAAGAUUGAGAUGAUGGAAAUGAUGAUUAUUUCCCCAGAUGAUCGAAUCUGAAAUUACUGAGCGCUCAAUUUUUUUUCUCUUUUUGGAGAAAAAUCCAAGCCAGAAAUCUGAUCCAUCUCUCAGUUUCAAGCAUUUUUCAUUUAAGGAAUUUCAUUUUAUUGAAUGUAGCUUUUUAAUUUUGAUUAUAUUUAUUGAUAUUUAAUGGAAGUUGGAAGUGAUGAUUAUUUCCCC